GCAAAAAGGCUUAAAUUCUCUGGAAAAGAACGAGAGGUCUAGGAGCAAGAACAAAAUAGCGUAUCGGUCAUUGAGAGCUAUUCCGCAGGACCUUCUUUAGGCCACGACUGAGGUAAUUCUUUUUACGGAAUUGUAAGCUAUAACAUCAUUAUAUACUAGAAUCUAACACCCUAAUAAGGUAAAUUCAUAGGAAAGUUUUACAAAACCUCAAGAACACCCAUCAAAUACGAGUUAAGUUUUUGGUGUUAAUAGAUAAAUUCUUUAUUUUUAUUAGAUUGCUAUGACGAGUUAAGGUUGUUAGAGGCAGUAAAGGAUGUUAGAACAAGACUUCACCCCAAAACUUAGAAAUUUAGAAGUUGAACCUAAAGUUCUUAGAGUUGACAAAAGAUUAAUGCUUUUGGGAAGUUGGGUACUUAUUGUGACUUAUCAUUGUAGUAUUUGAUCGUUGAGUUGAUACAAGAAUUGGAACUUACAUUGUUGCUUGAAAGGAGAAAUUGAGGUGAGUUGAUACAACCCUUUGCUAAAGUGGUUUAACUCACAAAAGCACGCACACAAGGUAUUUGAUGAAUUGCAUAAAAGAGUUAAUAUAUACUUAAUUAGAGUAGUAAGUACCUAUUAGCUUAGAAUUAUUUUCUAGCUAAAG
rnacentral:lncRNA from 1 species